rnacentral:rRNA from 1 species
GACGAACGCUGGCGGCGUGCUUAACACAUGCAAGUCGAACGGAAAGGCCCUGCUUUUGUGGGGUGCUCGAGUGGCGAACGGGUGAGUAACACGUGAGUAACCUGCCCUUGACUUUGGGAUAACUUCAGGAAACUGGGGCUAAUACCGGAUAGGAGCUCCUGCUGCAUGGUGGGGGUUGGAAAGUUUCGGCGGGUGGGGCUGGACUCGCGGCUUAUCAGCUUGUUGGUGGGGUAGUGGCUUACCAAGGCUUUGACGGAUAGCCGGUCUGAGAGGGGGACCGGCCACAUUGGGACUGAGAUACGGCCCAGACUCCUACGGGAGGCAGCAGUGGGGAAUAUUGCACAAUGGGCGGAAGCCUGAUGCAGCAACGCCGCGUGCGGGAUGACGGCCUUCGGGUUGUAAACCGCUUUCGCCUGUGACGAAGCGUGAGUGACGGUAAUGGGUAAAGAAGCACCGGCUAACUACGUGCCAGCAGCCGCCGUAA